UGACAGCAUUAAGGCAGGCCUGGGGCAGGAGAAGGUUCUAUAUCUUUAUCCAAAGGAAGCCAGGAACAGACUGGGCAUGCUCAGGCAUCUAGGAGGAAGGUCUGCAAGCCCAUCCCCACAGUGACACACUUCCUCCAAGAAGACCGCACCUUCUAAUAGUGCCACUCUCUGGGAUGAGCAUAUACAAACCAUCACAUCCCCCCAAGACAGG